UACGUAGGCAGCGAGCGUUUGUUCGGAAUUACUGGGCGUAAAGAGUGUGUAGGCGGUGCUCUAAGUUCGGUGUGAAGUCUCCUGGCUCAACUGGGAGGGUGCGCCGGGAAACUGGAGUGCUUGAGCGUGGGGAGAGGAAAGCGGAAUUCCUGGUGUAGCGGUGAAAUGCGUAGAUAUCAGGAGGAACACCUGUGGUGUAGACGGCUUUCUGGACCGUAGCUGACGCUGAGACACGAAAAGCGUGGGUAGCAAACAGG
rnacentral:rRNA from 1 species